ACUAGUAAGUACAACUCAAAUAUACUGGACAGAUGUUAAGACGACUCUAAAAGGUGGAAAGGAAGCUGACCAGCUGGGGGACCUCAGAAAAUGAGCAAAAGACAUGACCUGACAUUUCAACAAAGAGGAUGUACAGAUGGCAGAUGAACCACAAGAUGCCGGACAUCAUCAGCCACUAGGAAAAUGCACAUUAAAACCACAAUGGGAUAUGACACGCUUGUCGCUGACGAAAUGUCCCAAACCAACAGAGCUGCCUGACCUGGGAAUCAGACCCGUCAGCCCUAGUGGGAAAGAAGCCCGCUCCUCCAGCCGCGCACCAGAGAAGGCUACAGUUACCUGGCCUGGUCAAUUCACUGAAGAGAUGCAGGAGAAAGCAGGGGUCAUAAAGGCCAUCUAGAUCCACUGUGCUCCUGUCUU